UCGACAGAAGACAAACUCAGAGUUAUGAAUUAAAAUGUCUCCAAUUUUCAUCAAACAGUUAAACAUUCAUUUUAUCAAUAACUAACAAUGAGUUGCUCUGGGUCUUUUUAACAUUUACUUCCUCCAUCAAUCUCUCAGGCCUCAAAGUGCGGCUGCGACCUGCAGUGGUGACAGAGGGUGGGAGAGUCUCUCUGACCUGUGGGACCAGCUGUCCUCUACCUACUAACACAAACUACAUUUGGUACCUCAACAAUCGACCUCUGAAUCUCACAAACAACCAAAACAAACACCUGUUUCUAGACCCAGUCAGCAGUCAGGAUGCAGGAAACUACUCUUGUUGUAUCAAAAAUGGUACUAAAAGUACCUGCUCCAGUGAAAAGACUCUCACCGUCCAGAGAACCACAGGAACAUCAGCAGUCGCUACAGGAGUCCGUGCUGCUCUUUUGGUUUUGAUACCUCUUGUUUUCAUCUACUGGUUUAGAAAGAAGAAGAGGACUUCAGUUCAGGUUCCCACAACUGAAGCUAAAGACAAUACGGCACAGUUAAACAAUGCCCACGUGUAUGAAAACAUAUCAGGUGAAGCAACUCAACACCAUGAGCGAGGUCCAAUUCACUGAGAACAACGGAUAACACCCAGCCAUGUCAGCUCAAGGGAGAGGAGCAAGUCACUUAUACUGUUGUCAGCUUUAGACCCAACGCAAACCCUGAGUGAGCUUAUUUUAGCACAACAACCGUGGAGUCCCAGGAAAGGACUGAGCUUUGCAGAUGAAAGCAACAUGCAUUGAUAAAUCUGUCAGUAAAGGAGA